rnacentral:rRNA from 1 species
GACGAACGCUGGCGGCGCGCCUCAUACAUGCAAGUCGAGCGUGAAGCGGGACUUCGGUCCCGUGGAAAGCGGCGAACGGGUGCGUAACACGUGAGCAACCUGCCCCGAAGACUGGGAUAACCCGAGGAAACUCGGGCUAAUACCGGAUGUCCUCCUCCGACCGCAUGAUUGGAAGAGGAAAUGUUCAGGCGCUUCGGGAUGGGCUCGCGGUCUAUCAGCUUGUUGGUGGGGUAACGGCCUACCAAGGCGACGACGGAUAGCUGGUCUGAGAGGACGCUCAGCCACACUGGGACUGAGACACGGCCCAGACUCCUACGGGAGGCAGCAGUAGGGAAUCUUGCGCAAUGGGGGAAACCCUGACGCAGCGACGCCGCGUGCGGGAUGAAGGCCUUCGGGUUGUAAACCGCUUUCAGCAGGGACGAAAUCGACGGUACCUGCAGAAGAAGGCCCGGCCAACUACGUGCCAGCCGCCGCCGUAA